ACAUGUACAUUGGGGGUCUUAUUACAAGUUCAGUAAAAAAAGAGACGAAAAGAAAUACAAUUGAUGAUUAUUCAUCUUCAUCGUCUGAGGAGUCGAGUAUGCUCGGGUUGAGUCCAGCCACCUUUAAUUUUUCUUUAUCCUUCCCUUUUGCGCUUUAAUGGCCAUCACCAAAUUGCUACAUUACCUCCUAGAUUAGUUUGGGUGAUUUUCGAUAUUCUGUGAUCAGCUGCAGCUUGGCGACCUCGGUCAUGGGAGGACCUUGGGCCUUGAGCUCUGAAUAAUCCUUCUAUAAUUACUUCUUAAUUCUCACCAACUCCAUUAUUUGAUAGUGCAUGGUCCCAAAUUGUUUCUUGAGGCUGGUUGCUGCCUUCUCCAAUCUCUCGUUUUUGUCCUUCAAUUUGUUGUACAUUAUUAGAAGAUGUUUCUUCUUGUCGGAUGUCUCAGAGAACUACCACUUUACUUUCUUUAGAUCGUUUGUUAGCUCUUGGUAGUAAAAAUUGGUGUUUAAAUUCAGGCUUCUCUCUUUCUUGAGACCGGACAUCAGGGCUUCAACUUUGAGUGGGAGAUAAAUGACUUCAGCCUCCAACUCUUUUUCUCUGAUCGUUAUUUUGGAGAGCUGGCACAAGGCUUGGGCCAGGAAAGCAUUGGACUGCAAUAUGAAACAUGUAGCUUAAAGUCAAAAAAAGGAGGAAAAUUUUGAAAGAAGAGUUAAGUAGGAGUACUUACCUGACCCUGAUGUAUUAC
rnacentral:lncRNA from 1 species